UUAAAAAUAAGUUAAUUAAACUAUUAGAUUCAUAAUCUAACAAUAGAUAUAAUAUCUUUUUUAUA
rnacentral:tRNA from 1 species